rnacentral:tRNA from 1 species
GCGGGAGUGGUGGAAUCGGCAGACACGCAAGGUUUAGGUCCUUGUGCCCUCGUGGCGUAGGGGUUCGAGUCCCCUCUCCCGCAC